CUUUCAGAAGUUCCUUUCCGCAUUCCUCCGCCGCACCAUAACAUCUAUAGCGACAUCGUCGACCAGAUAGUGCUUGUUAAUGAGGUGCUCGACGUACUCCAGUUCCCAACGCUAGAAAUCACAACUCACCUAUCCCAAAAAGACAUGCCAAGGUCAAAAACUUCAAUCUUUGGAUCCAAAACGUAAGAGAUAAAUCGAACCACGAACCCCAUGAUCAUGACACUUGUAGAAGACCCACCCGUCAUGCUUCUCACUGGUGGAGACAACACAUGCACACCUUCUCCUUGCAAGCCGAGCAACGGAUCAGCGGCAGCACCAACACCCGACGGCAGACAUCAGAGGAGGACGAGCUUGCGGCGGACAUGACCGCCAGAGCUUGCGGAGGACAGAGGCAAAGGAGAACGAGCUCGGGUCGAUUCGAUGGCAGCGACGGUGGUGGCGGAGCAGAGCGAUAGAGGCGGAGGGGGCACACAACAGAGGGAGACGCCGCGGGUUAGGGAUUUGAGGGAUUGGGGAAUUUGGUUCUUUUACAAAAACACCUCCAUGCAUCAUUGGCCAAACGAGAGAGCACUACGUGGCGGUCAACUGUUGGUCAAACUAGGCCUACAUGCACUGCAUACACGCUACAAUGCUCGUAUUUUCACGUCCCAUCGCAUUGAGUGAUCGUAACGAGCGUAUUUUAAAGUCCAGUGAUCGUAUCGUGCUUUCAUCGCAAAUACAGUGACCAUGAGUGUAUUUAUCUCUUCAAACAUUUAGGAC
rnacentral:lncRNA from 1 species